rnacentral:rRNA from 1 species
AGUGAACGCUGGCGGUAGGCCUAACACAUGCAAGUCGAACGGCAGCACAGUAAGAGCUUGCUCUUACGGGUGGCGAGUGGCGGACGGGUGAGGAAUACAUCGGAAUCUACUUUUUCGUGGGGGAUAACGUAGGGAAACUUACGCUAAUACCGCAUACGACCUACGGGUGAAAGCAGGGGAUCUUCGGACCUUGCGCGAUUGAAUGAGCCGAUGUCGGAUUAGCUAGUUGGCGGGGUAAAGGCCCACCAAGGCGACGAUCCGUAGCUGGUCUGAGAGGAUGAUCAGCCACACUGGAACUGAGACACGGUCCAGACUCCUACGGGAGGCAGCAGUGGGGAAUAUUAGGCAAUGGUCGCAAGCCUGAUCCAGCCAUACCGCGUGGGUUAAGAAGGCCUUCGGUUUGUAAAGCCCUUUUUUUGGGAAAGAAAAGCAGCAGGUUAAGACCCCGCUGUUCUGACGGUACCCAAAGAAUAAGCACCGGCUAACUUCGUG